rnacentral:lncRNA from 1 species
UGGCGGGAUCUGGCAAGAUGACAGGGGGUCAUGACCCUAUAAUUCUACGUUAGACCAUAUGUUAAAAUAUUCUCCUGUGGUACCACAGGGAAGUUGUGUUUUUUUAUAAACGGCUUUCUCUUGUUUACCAGAGCGGUCGGUUCAUCACUGUUACCAGUUUUGAAUUUUAUCCUCCGAGUACCGAGGAAGCGUUAUUCAAGUUAUGGCCUAGCGUCAGUGUGGGGUCGUGCUCCUCGUUCACUCUUAUUUUCCUUAGAGGAACUUUUGUUACUUCUGUUACCAGAAGAACACCUACUUGACAUUAUUAAAAAUGCCGGCGGUUUGUAUCGUCUUGCCAGACCUCGUUUACUGUUUUUUUCCCUGCGGCCGAUUUUAUUCCACUUAAGAUUUCUUAAAUUAUUUAGUUUUUACGGAGUUGUGGAAUGAUCGCCUAUGAGACAACUCAAUUGUACAAAUCAACGUUGGUAUUAGCAUCUAAAGGUAACCGUACAACCUUUAACAAUGAGCAAAACAUUUACCAUAUGCGGCCGGUUUUAUUCCACACAUUAUUUCUUGAAUUAUUCUAAUCUUUAAUUAAUCAACUUUAU